rnacentral:rRNA from 1 species
GACGAACGCUGGCGGCGUGCUUAACACAUGCAAGUCGAACGGAAAGGCCCUGCUUUUGUGGGGUGCUCGAGUGGCGAACGGGUGAGUAACACGUGAGUAACCUGCCCUUGACUUUGGGAUAACUUCAGGAAACUGGGGCUAAUACCGGAUAGGAGCUCCUGCUGCAUGGUGGGGGUUGGAAAGUUUCGGCGGUUGGGGAUGGACUCGCGGCUUAUCAGCUUGUUGGUGGGGUAGUGGCUUACCAAGGCUUUGACGGGUAGCCGGCCUGAGAGGGUGACCGGCCACAUUGGGACUGAGAUACGGACCAGACUCCUACGGGAGGCAGCAGUGGGGAGUAUUGCACAAUGGGCGGAAGCCUGAUGCAGCAACGCCGCGUGCGGGAUGCCGGCCUUCGGGUUGUAAACCGCUUUCGCCUGUGACGAAGCGUGAGUGACGGUAAUGAGUAAAGAAGCACCGGCUAACUACGUG